GGACCAAGGAGUCUGGCGCGCGCGCGAGUCAUUGGGAACGACUAAACCUAAAGGCGAAGUGAAAGCGAAGGUCCCGCCUCGAGCGGACCGUGGGAGGAUGGGCGGCGAACCAGAAGCGCCGCCCCGCACUCCCGGGGCGUCUCGCGCUCAUCGCGAGGCGAGGCGCACCGUGAGCGCGCGCGCCGGGACCCGAAAGAUGGUGAACUAUGCCUGGUCAGGACGAAGUCAGGGGAAACCCUGAUGGAGGUCCGUAGCGAUUCUGACGUGCAAAUCGAUCGUCGGAACUGGGUAUAGGGGCGAAAGACUAAUCGAACCAUCUAGUAGCUGGUUCCCUCCGAAGUUUCCCUCAGGAUAGCUGGCGCCCGGGAGAACCGCGAGUGAGUUAACUCUGCACGAGUCUCAUCCGGUAAAGCGAAUGAUUAGAGGCAUCGGGGCCGAAACGGCCUCGACCUAUUCUCAAACUUUAAAUGGGUGAGAUCUCCGGCUUGCUCGAAGGCGCAAGCUCUUGAAGCCGGAGAUCGGAUCGACGGGUGCCAAGUGGGCCACUUUUGGUAAGCAGAACUGGCGCUGCGGGAUGAACCGAACGUCGAGUUAAAGCGCCCAAAUCGACGCUUAUGGGACACCAUGAAAGGCGUUGGUAACUUAAGACAGCAGGACGGUGGCCAUGGAAGUCGGA
rnacentral:rRNA from 1 species